GUUAUAGUCACUGACUACAAAUGCUGAGGCCAUAGUUAGUCAAUCUCGCAUAUCAGUUGCAUAAUCUCCCAACUCAUCAUGGCGAAUACAGAAGAAAGAGAAAAACCAAAAUUGAAGCUCUACUCCUAUUGGAUGAGUUCUUGCGCCUGGCGUGUCCGUAUUGCGCUCAAUUUGAAAGGGUUGGAUUAUGAGUACAAAACUGUGAAUUUGCUAAAAGGAGAUCAAUUUAGUGACGAGUUUCAAAAAUUGAAUCCUCUUGGUUAUGUGCCGGUGUUGGUGGAUGAGGAUAUAGUGACUGCGGAUUCAUUUGCUAUCAUAAUGUAUCUAGAAGAGAAGUACCCACAACAUCUGUUGUUGCCCCAGAAUCUUCAGAAAAGAGCUAUCAAUUACCAGGCUGCAAAUAUUGUGGCUUCAAACAUACAACCUUUCCAGAACUUAGCUGUAGCGAAUUAUAUUGAAGAAAAACUUGGUUCUGAUGAAAGGCUUUCUUGGGUGCAACAUCAUAUCAAAAAAGGCUUUGCUGCAUUAGAGAAGCUAUUAACUGGACACACUGGCAAAUAUGCUACUGGGGAUGAAGUUGCCUUGGCAGACUUGUUCCUAGCUCCCCAAAUUGCAGGAGCAGUUAAGAGAUUCAACAUAAACAUGGCCGAGUUCCCAUUAUUAGAGAAGUUAAAUGGUGCUUAUUCUGAACUACCAGCGUUUCAGAGCGCUGAGCCAGGAAAACAACCAGAUGCCCCAGAUAAUGCCAAAUCCUAGUAGGCUGACGUGCAGUACCGGCCGUGGAUCGGGUUGGUUGUCCCUGGGUUAGCCGCGCAGUAUACCGCUGAGCGUCGCUAUUUCUUAGGGACAUAUGGAGCAGUUGCAUAUCAUGGAGAGAGGGUUGCUAUUCACCAUUCCUCGGACACUUUCGUCGUUCCUGCUCCUGCGCCGCGUCACAUGUUCAAUGGCGCGAGGUUGGUGAGCAUGUCAGAGAGAGCUGGUACCCCUUGGCGAUCUUAUACGAUCCAUGGGCGGUGCUAUGAAGAGGAGCUACUGUCGUUGUUAGCUCCAGUCCCUGUACUGGCUGAGGAAGUGGCGGCUGGACCUACUAAGUUUGUGCCACCUCGUAUGUCCAUCCAUUAUCAGGGGACAUACGGGUCGAUCGAGGACAUAAUUCCUCCGGCUCCUGAGGGUGAGCGCUU